GGUUGCGAUCAUACCAGCACCAAUGCACCGGAUCCCAUCAGAACUCCGCAGUUAAGCGUGCUUGGGCGAGAGUAGUACUAGGAUGGGUGACCCCCUGGGAAGUCCUCGUGUUGCAACCC
rnacentral:rRNA from 1 species